rfam:Salmo salar isolate Sally breed double haploid chromosome ssa21, whole genome shotgun sequence.
UCCCGUGUGGCUCAGUUGGUAGAGCAUGGUGUUUGCAACGCCUGGGUUGUGGGUUCGAUUCCCACAGGGGGAC